UACGUAGGGUGCAAGCGUUGUCCGGAAUUAUUUGGCGUAAAGAGCUCGUAGGCGGUCUGUCGCGUCGGCUGUGAAAACACGGGGCUCAACCCCGAGCCUGCAGUCGAUACGGGCAGACUAGAGUGCUGUAGGGGAGACUGGAAUUCCUGGUGUAGCGGUGAAAUGCGCAGAUAUCAGGAGGAACACCGGUGGCGAAGGCGGGUCUCUGUGCAGUAACUGACGCUGAGGAGCGAAAGCGUGGGGAGAGAACAGG
rnacentral:rRNA from 1 species